rnacentral:tRNA from 1 species
UGGGCUGUAGCCAAGCGGUAAGGCAAUAGGUUUUGAUCCUAUCAUGCGCAGGUUCGAAUCCUGCCAGCCCAACCA